rnacentral:rRNA from 1 species
GACGAACGCUGGCGGCGUGCUUAACACAUGCAAGUCGAACGGAAAGGCCCUGCUUUUGUGAGGUGCUCGAGUGGCGAACGGGUGAGUAACACGUGAGUAACCUGCCCUUGACUUUGGGAUAACUUCAGGAAACUGGGGCUAAUACCGGAUAGGAGCUCCUGCUGCAUGGUGGGGGUUGGAAAGUUUCGGCGGUUGGGGAUGGACUCGCGGCUUAUCAGCUUGUUGGUGGGGUAGUGGCUUACCAAGGCUUUGACGGGUAGCCGGCCUGAGAGGGUGACCGGCCACAUUGGGACUGAGAUACGGCCCAGACUCCUACGGGAGGCAGCAGUGGGGAAUAUUGCACAAUGGGCGGAAGCCUGAUGCAGCAACGCCGCGUGCGGGAUGACGGCCUUCGGGUUGUAAACCGCUUUCGCCUGUGACGAAGCGUGAGUGACGGUAAUGGGUAAAGAAGCGCCGGCUAACUACGUG